GUAGUAUUCCCUUCGUCCCAAAAUUCUUGUCUUACAUUUGUUUAGAUAUGGAUGUAUCUAACACUAAAAUUGAACUAGAUACAUCCGUCUUUAGACAAAUUUAAGACAAGAAUUUUGGGACGGAGGGAGUACAAA
rfam:Triticum aestivum genome assembly, contig: Triticum_aestivum_CS42_TGACv1_scaffold_503267_6BL